ensembl:snoRNA
AUGGCCCUGACUGAAGACCUGCAGUUACACUAUAGCUGCUGGUUUCAAACAGAGGCCCAGAGCACUGUCUUCCUGUGUGAUCUGUCGGUUGUUCUGUAACCUCAGCAGGGAAUGGCUGUUUCAUUUGGAAGAAACAACC